rnacentral:tRNA from 1 species
GGCGCUUUCGUCUAGUGGUCUAGGACGUCACCUUCUCAAGGUGAAUAUCACGGGUUCGAAUCCCGUAAGCGCUA